CAGUAGCCGCGGGAAUACGUAGGUGGCAAGCGUUGCUCGGAAUGACUGGGCGUAAAGGGCGCGUAGGCGGAUCACGCAGUCAGAUGUGAAAUUCCUGGGCUUAACCUGGGGGCUGCAUUUGAGACGCGUGGUCUAGAGUGUGAAAGAGGGUCGUGGAAUUCCCAGUGUAGAGGUGAAAUUCGUAGAUAUUGGGAAGAACACCGGUGGCGAAGGCGGCGACCUGGUUCAUGACUGACGCUGAGGCACGAAAGCGUGGGGAGCAAACAGGAUUAGAUACCCGAGUAGUCCCUGUCUCUUAUAU
rnacentral:rRNA from 1 species